AGGAGGAGUAGUUAUAUUCUAUCAUACUGCGAUUAAGUUAAAUUAUACAUUCGUAGCAUCUAAAUUGGCAUACUAAGAGAACAUUUAAAUUAUUAUGUGGAUGUGACAGAUUCAAUUUUUCUUGAAUUCUUUUGAGGAAGCUGCCCUUAGCAAUGCUUCCCAGUGGUAAACAAAAGCUUCACAGGAAAGUGGCCUUUAAGAGACUUAAUAAAUGUUUCUAAUUAAAUACCUUGGGGCAGAAUUAGCUGCAAUCUUUAGCUAUGGAAAAACAACCUGUGUCCUGUUCAGAGUUUCAGCACCUUCUCUUAAAAUACAUUUAGUCUAAGAAUGACCUAAAUGAAGAACUCAGUACCCCUUAACAUCAGAACUAUGUCUAUAGCUGUAUCAUUUGGGCCAAAUGUUUCAGACUUUCUUCUCUCCAGCACCCUUAAACAAAGCCAUUAGUAAGUAGAAAGCAGAGUAAGAGCCCCUUCCUCUUCCUUUUAAGUUUCAAUUAGUGAACAUAUCCAUGUACAAUAAAAUAUUGUCUGAGUUAUACUAUGUUACUGGGAAACAUUGCCUGAUGAUAGGUUUCCUUCUGCUGAUUUUUAGGUUUUGGAUUCAGGAAGACAGGUAGAAUUCAGUCGGCCGUAUGAGUUGCUACAAGAUGAAGAGAGCCUAUUUUACAACAUGGUGCAACACCUGAGGGAGGCCGAGGCCACUGCCCCCACUGAGACAGCAACACAGGUGAGCUCCAAGCAGAGAAUUGUAAUUAAAGUUCAUUUCCCUGGUUCACUCUUCAGGAUCUCCAUGAGGGGUCUGGUAACAAGCGCUCUGUGCCCUUUGCAAUUAUGAGCCUCCAGAGAUGAAGCUUCAUGGCUGGGCCUUAACAGCAAGGUGCAGGUUGAAGGCAGGUCUGCUGAGAAUCUGCAGAAGAGGUGUGGGUGGGGCAGGAUGUGUGUGUGCUCACGUGUGCACGCACAUGUGCAUAAGAGAGAUUGUAGAUUAGACUUUCCAUGACUUUGGACUCUGUGGGUUCAGAUUCCCACACAGCACAGACCACUCUCAUUCUGCAGACCCUUUACAUCUUAUCCUGAUUGGUCCUCAGCCCAUUUGCGAUGCAAGUGCUGUCAGGGAACAUCCAGGAAAUUUGAGAGUUUGAGGGGAAAAUCUGAACUAUUUCAGGUCUAGGAAGAUCUACCAGGGAAAGGUGUAGGUUGCUUCUGUUUUCUAAUUUGUAAAGAAAACUCCAACAUGAUACUAAGUCUCCCUAAUUCUCUGCUGUUAAGAAUUAUGUCACGUUGCCUCCCUAAGCUUCCUCUACCUUCUAGAAGGUGCAGUUGUCAUGAGGACACAUCAGGAAUUCACACAGCCUUAACACUGUAGUCUGAAUGGGGCUUGGAGUUUUAACAAAGCCUUUGCACAGAGCUGAGGGGUGUGGGAGCUCUAAGCGCUGUAGGCGGUGUGAGGAAGAUGCUCCACGAGUAACACUCAGGCCACGUGGUGUCACUCUAACAGAGGGGAGGUGGUGGUAUCUUGUCCUACAGAUGUGAUAACUCAGGUCUGGCUUCAGAGACUUAGCCAUUGCCAUGCAGCUGCCUGUAGUUCUGUCUGGACCCAGGUGAGAGUGGGGUUGAUGGAAGGAUGGAGGGAGGGAAGGAGGGUCUGGUGUUCUUGCCCCUUGAGAUGCGUGGCUCAGGUAGGAGGAGGUUCCAACUGGAUGUGACGGGGCUUCUCAUCCAAACGUUACUCUGGGCCUUAAAUGAUGGGAGCAUUUUUCCUUCUCCAUACUUUUCUGCAUUUCCCAGAUUUUCACUUAUCAGUAGAAUAAAAUUACUUGUGUAAUAUUUAAAAUAUCUCGUAAAGAUAUGGCCCAGUGUCCACAGUACUUUUGUAUGAAUGACUUAUCUAAAAUGUACCUGAGUUCUCUCUGUUCUGGUUUCAUCUCAUUCCUCCCCCUUAGAAAUGAAGACAUGACGAGCAGUGCCUUCCACUGUUCAUAGGCUAGGAGAUUGCCCAGGGUCACAGAGCUGGCUGAGGAGUUGACAGAGUUCACUGGUUCAAGCCUCGGGUUAGGGACAGUGGAGACUUUCCACAAAUACUCACACUGUAUGCACAUGCAGAGAAGCUGCAUUUGGAGCCCGAUAUUCAUUUGUGCCUGAAAUGGAUAGAGUGCUUUCAUCUCCCAGUCAGAGUUUCCUGUCUAAGACCUGACAAUCCUUUAGGAGAUUCCCUGUAUAACCUAACACGGAAGAGCCUGGAAUCUCCCAAACCCUUUUAUUCAUUCACCCUUAGUUAUUUCACCUCAAAGAGAUGUGCCCCUACCUCUGUGUCAAAGUCUUUGUUUAAAAACUGUGUUAUUGGAGUUUCCCUCUUGGUUCAGUGGCUAAGGAACCCAACUAGAAUCCAUGAGGAUGCAGUUUUGAUCCCUGGCCCUGCUCAGUGGGUUAAGGAUCUGGCAUUGCUGUGAGCUGAGGUGUGGGCUGGCAGCUUCAGCUCUGAUUCAUCCUGGGAACCUCCAUAUGCCGUGGGUGUGACCCUAAAAAGAUAAAAAAGACCAAAAAAAAGUGUGUUAUCAUUAUAUUUUAUCAAGACAUUGAGCAAUGAGAAAUAGAUCACAGGAUUUUAGAUAGGUCUAAAUAACAUAAUAGAAUUCAACACCCUGAUUUUACAAGUGAGGAAAGUAAAGCCACUAAGGAGGAAGAAGGUCCUGUACAUAUAACUAGUGUUACACUAAUUUGCAUUAGAGAAUUAGUAAUCUUUUUCUUCAAUUAAUUUUUUAAAUCGAGUAUAACUUACAUACAAAGCAGCAUAGGUCACAGAAUUAGAAAUCUUAUAAUUCCUGGUGUAGUAAUCUUGUACCUACUUUUGCAAUAUUAAUGGUAAGUUACAAUGGUAUAGUUCUUUAUAAUUUGUUUUACUUAAUUCUCACAUAUGAUUUCUCUUAAUCCUCAUGACAGUCCUUUUAUUUAUUUAUUUAUUUAUUGCUUGCCUUUUGUCCUUUGAGGGCUGUACCCAUGGCAUAUGGAGGUUCCCAGGCUAGGGGUCGAAGCGGAGCUGCAGCUGCCGGCCUACGCCACAGCCACAGCAACGCAGGAUCCGAGCCGCGUCUGCAACCUAUACCACAGCUCAUGGCAACACCGGAUCCUUAACCCACUGAACAAGGCCAGGGGUUGAACCUGUGUCCUCAUGGAUGCUAGUCAGAUUGGUUUCUGCUGAGCUAUGACUGGAACUCCUUUCUUGUUUAUUAAUAUAAAUAUUUUAAGGCUUUGACUUUUUUCUGAUAUCCUAUAGGUUCUAGUUUCCUACACCUAUAGGUGUAGUGCUUUUAUCAUAGUUAGGUUUUUAUUUAUGGAUUCUGCAAUUUUGGUUUUC
rnacentral:lncRNA from 1 species